AUGGGCGGAAGCCUGAUGCAGCAACGCCGCGUGAGGGAUGACGGCCUUCGGGUUGUAAACCUCUUUUAGCAGGGAAGAAGCGUGAGUGACGGUACCUGCAGAAAAAGCGCCGGCUAACUACGUGCCAGCAGCCGCGGUAAUACGUAGGGCGCAAGCGUUAUCCGGAAUUAUUGGGCGUAAAGAGCUCGUAGGCGGUUUGUCGCGUCUGCUGUGAAAUCCCGAGGCUCAACCUCGGGCCUGCAGUGGGUACGGGCAGACUAGAGUGCGGUAGGGGAGAUUGGAAUUCCUGGUGUAGCGGUGGAAUGCGCAGAUAUCAGGAGGAACACCGAUGGCGAAGGCAGAUCUCUGGGCCGUAACUGACGCUGAGGAGCGAAAGGGUGGGGAGCAAACAGGCUUAGAUACCCUGGUAGUCCACCCCGUAAACGUUGGGAACUAGUUGUGGGGUCCUUUCCACGGAUUCCGUGACGCAGCUAACGCAUUAAGUUCCCCGCCUGGGGAGUACGGCCGCAAGGCUAAAACUCAAAGGAAUUGACGGGGACCCGCACAAGCGGCGGAGCAUGCGGAUUAAUUCGAUGCAACGCGAAGAACCUUACCAAGGCUUGACAUACACCAGAACGGGCCAGAAAUGGUCAACUCUUUGGACACUGGUGAACAGGUGGUGCAUGGUUGUCGUCAGCUCGUGUCGUGAGAUGUUGGGUUAAGUCCCGCAACGAGCGCAACCCUCGUUCUAUGUUGCCAGCACGUAAUGGUGGGAACUCAUGGGAUACUGCCGGGGUCAACUCGGAGGAAGGUGGGGAUGACGUCAAAUCAUCAUGCCCCUUAUGUCUUGGGCUUCACGCAUGCUACAAUGGCCGGUACAAAGGGCUGCAAUACCGUGAGGUGGAGCGAAUCCCAAAAAGCCGGUCCCAGUUCGGAUUGAGGUCUGCAACUCGACCUCAUGAAGUCGGAGUCGCUAGUAAUCGCAGAUCAGCAACGCUGCGGUGAAUACGUUCCCGGGUCUUGUACACACCGCCCGUCAAGUCAUGAAAGUCGGUAACACCUGAAGCCGGUGGCCUAACCCUUGU
rnacentral:rRNA from 1 species